rnacentral:lncRNA from 1 species
GUAUUUCUGCCACCUUCAUUUUUUGGAUGUGGGAGUUCUUAACUGUCCAACACUCCGCUCCAUACAACAUGGCCGGACGGACUACCACCCUGUAGAAUUUGCCUUUCAGCUUGGGCGGCACCUUCUUAUCACACAACACCCCCGAUGCGAGCUUCCACUUCAUCCAUCCCGCCCCAAUACGGUGCGAGACAUCUUCGUCAAUCUCACCGUUACUCUGGAUCACGGACCCGAGAUACUUGANN